CGAAAGAUUGAUCCAGUUACUUAUUAGAAUGAUAUAUUAAUUAUUAAUAUUUAAAAUAAUAUAUAUUUAUAUAUAUUAUUAUAUUUAUAUUAAAUAAAAAUAAUAUUAAUUGAUUAACAAUAAAGUUCAUAAAUAAUUAAAAUAAUGAUAUUAAUUACUUGUAUUAAUUACAAGUAUAUUUAUAUAUAUAUUUAUUUAUAUAUAUAGAUAUAUUUAAUAGUCCUAACCAAAAUUUGUGCCAGCAGUUGCGGUAAAACAAUGGGGGCAAGCGUUAAUCAUAAUGGCUUAAAGAAUUCGUAGAAUUAUAUAUAUUAUAUAUAUAUUAGAGUUAAUAAAUAUUAAUUAAAGAAUUAUAAUAGUAAAGAUGAAAUAAUAAUGAUAAUUAUAAGACUGGUAUACGUGAAAAUAUUAAUUAAUUAUUAACUGACAUUGAGGAAUGAAGGCUAGAGUAGCAAUCCGGAUUCGAUACCCGAGUAGUUCUAGCAGUAAACUAUGAACACCAAUUUUUAAUAUAUAAUAUUAAAAAUAAAAUGAAAAUGUAAGUGUUCCGCCUGAAGAGUACGUUCGCAAGGAUGAAAUUCAAGACAAUAGACGGUUACAGACUUAAGCAGUGGAGCAU
rnacentral:rRNA from 1 species